rnacentral:rRNA from 1 species
UAGGGAAUCUUCCACAAUGGACGCAAGUCUGAUGGAGCAACGCCGCGUGAGUGAAGAAGGUUUUCGGAUCGUAAAGCUCUGUUGUUGGUGAAGAAGGAUAGAGGCAGUAACUGGUCUUUAUUUGACGGUAAUCAACCAGAAAGUCACGGCUAACUACGUGCCAGCAGCCGAGGUAAUACGUAGGUGGCAAGCGUUGUCCGGAUUUAUUGGGCGUAAAGCGAGCGCAGGCGGAAUGAUAAGUCUGAUGUGAAAGCCCACGGCUCAACCGUGGAACUGCAUCGGAAACUGUCAUUCUUGAGUGCAGAAGCAGAGAGUGGAAUUCCAUGUGUAGCGGUGGAAUGCGUAGAUAUAUGGAAGAACACCAGUGGCGAAGGCGGCUCUCUGGUCUGCAACUGACGCUGAGGCUCGAAAGCAUGGGUAGCGAACAGG